rnacentral:tRNA from 1 species
GGGGAUGUAGCUCAGUGGUAGAGUGCUUUCCUAGGACACACAAGGCCCUGGGUUCAAUUCCCAGUACCUCAA